rnacentral:lncRNA from 1 species
GUAAAUAACUAUAAUUCAUUUCGUUGAUAAAAGGCACUUCGAAAAUACAUAAAUAUUAAACUAUGAUAUUUAUUUGGCGCAUAAUUUGGUAUUUUUAAUUAUAUAUGAAUAUUUUUAAUAGCCUAUAGUCCUUAUUGUAAUAAAGGUUGUGAAAAUAAUUUUGUUUUUUCUUGUUAAUUUUUUUUUAUUUAUUUUAGGUUUUAAGUAAGUUAGUAUAAAUAGCAGUUUGAUUUUUAAGAUAAUUUUUACAGUUGUAAAUUAUUUGUAGUUCUGUAUUUAUUUUUACAUACAUUAUUAUUUGAUUUUUUUUCUUUCUAAAAUCUGAUUUCUAUUAUCCUUUUUUGUUAGUUAAAAUUGUAUGAUUAAUUUUCAAAUAUUUAGUUUAUAUAUGUAAGAAUUCAAAAUUUACCUCAAAAUUUAUAACACUUUUUAAAUU